GGAUGGUGUGCCCUGGUGCUCUGGGGUGAACGCUGAAAUUCCUGCCAUUUUGGGGGUUCUCAAUAAAUUUUAACUGUUUUGGAGGGAUAGCGAAGAAAGAAGGCACCGGCCGGCGCAAACAGGGAAAUUGCAAAUUCCCUGCAGCACUGGCACCCCCCUUCGACCCAACGACAGGAAAGGCAGCCAUUAGAAGCUGCCAAAGUUGGGACGGCUAUACAAGAAGACUGAGCAGGAGGCGAGAUCAGAACAGAGUAUUGUUAUCGGUCGAGCGAUUGGCCAACUUGCAGGAACCAUUUGGUCCACAGAAAAACCUCUCUCCAUGGAACCAGUCCCCGGUGCCCACAAGAUUGGGGGCCACUGGUCUGUGGCAUUUGAUUAAUAUGAAAACAGCAACGUUUGGAAGUUAAAAGGAAGAAACAGCUGUGAUUACACAUUGCUCCCAGAAGCACGAAGCUGAAGCCUGAAGAUGACGAAUGAGACUUCGUCGAAACGUCGCCAAGACACUUCCAUUUUACGCGGGAGAAAACCCGAAUAACCAAA